rnacentral:rRNA from 1 species
GGCGGCGUGCUUAACACAUGCAAGUCGAACGGAAAGGCCCUGCUUUUGUGGGGUGCUCGAGUGGCGAACGGGUGAGUAACACGUGAGUAACCUGCCCUUGACUUUGGGAUAACUUCAGGAAACUGGGGCUAAUACCGGAUAGGAGCUCCUGCUGCAUGGUGGGGGUUGGAAAGUUUCGGCGGUUGGGGAUGGACUCGCGGCUUAUCAGCUUGUUGGUGGGGUAGUGGCUUACCAAGGCUUUGACGGGUAGCCGGCCUGAGAGGGUGACCGGCCACAUUGGGACUGAGAUACGGCCCAGACUCCUACGGGAGGCAGCAGUGGGGAAUAUUGCACAAUGGGCGGAAGCCUGAUGCAGCAACGCCGCGUGCGGGAUGACGGCCUUCGGGUUGUAAACCGCUUUCGCCUGUGACGAAGCGUGAGUGACGGUAAUGGGUAAAGAAGCACCGGCUAACUACGUGCCAGCAGCCGCGGUGAUACGUAGGGUGCGAGCGUUGUCCGGAUUUAUUGGGCGUAAAGGGCUCGUAGGUGGUUGAUCGCGUCGGAAGUGUAAUCUUGGGGCUUAACCCUGAGCGUGCUUUCGAUACGGGUUGACUUGAGGAAGGUAGGGGAGAAUGGAAUUCCUGGUGGAGCGGUGGAAUGCGCAGAUAUCAGGAGGAACACCAGUGGCGAAGGCGGUUCUCUGGGCCUUUCCUGACGCUGAGGAGCGAAAGCGUGGGGAGCGAACAGGCUUAGAUACCCUGGUAGUCCACGCUGUAAACGGUGGGUACUAGGUGUGGGGUCCAUUCCACGGGUUCCGUGCCGUAGCUAACGCUUUAAGUACCCCGCCUGGGGAGUACGGCCGCAAGGCUAAAACUCAAAGGAAUUGACGGGGCCCCGCACAAGCGGCGGAGCAUGCGGAUUAAUUCGAUGCAACGCGUAGAACCUUACCUGGGUUUGACAUGGAUCGGGAGUGCUCAGAGAUGGGUGUGCCUCUUUUGGGGUCGGUUCACAGGUGGUGCAUGGCUGUCGUCAGCUCGUGUCGUGAGAUGUUGGGUUAAGUCCCGCAACGAGCGCAACCCUUGUUCACUGUUGCCAGCACGUUAUGGUGGGGACUCAGUGGAGACCGCCGGGGUCAACUCGGAGGAAGGUGGGGAUGACGUCAAGUCAUCAUGCCCCUUAUGUCCAGGGCUUCACGCAUGCUACAAUGGCUGGUACAGAGAGUGGCGAGCCUGUGAGGGUGAGCGAAUCUCGGAAAGCCGGUCUCAGUUCGGAUUGGGGUCUGCAACUCGACCUCAUGAAGUCGGAGUCGCUAGUAAUCGCAGAUCAGCAACGCUGCGGUGAAUACGUUCCCGGGGCUUGUACACACCGCCCGUCAAGUCAUGAAAGUUGGUAACACCCGAAGCCGGUGGCCUAACCGUUGUGGGGGAGCCGUCGAAGGUGGGACUGGUGAUUAGGAC